rnacentral:rRNA from 1 species
CGGGCGAGUAACGCGUGGAUAACCUGCCUCACACUGGGGGAUAACAGUUAGAAAUGACUGCUAAUACCGCAUAAGCGCACAGUACCGCAUGGUACAGUGUGAAAAACUCCGGUGGUGUGAGAUGGAUCCGCGUCUGAUUAGCCAGUUGGCGGGGUAACGGCCCACCAAAGCGACGAUCAGUAGCCGACCUGAGAGGGUGACCGGCCACAUUGGGACUGAGACACGGCCCAA